GAGUUUGAUCAUGGCUCAGAUUGAACGCUGGCGGCAUGCCUUACACAUGCAAGUCGAACGGCAGCAUGAUCUAGCUUGCUAGAUUGAUGGCGAGUGGCGAACGGGUGAGUAAUACAUCGGAAUGUGCCCUGUAGUGGGGGAUAACUAGUCGAAAGAUUAGCUAAUACCGCAUACGACCUGAGGGUGAAAGUGGGGGACCGCAAGGCCUCAUACUAUAGGAGCGGCCGAUGUCUGAUUAGCUAGUUGGUGAGGUAAAGGCUCACCAAGGCGACGAUCAGUAGCUGGUCUGAGAGGACGAUCAGCCACACUGGGACUGAGACACGGCCCAGACUCCUACGGGAGGCAGCAGUGGGGAAUUUUGGACAAUGGGCGAAAGCCUGAUCCAGCAGUGCCGCGUGUGUGAAGAAGGCCUUCGGGUUGUAAAGCACUUUUGUCCGGAAAGAAAUGGCUCUGGUUAAUACCUGGGGUCGAUGACGGUACCGGAAGAAUAAGGACCGGCUAA
rnacentral:rRNA from 1 species